rnacentral:rRNA from 1 species
UACGUAGGGUGCAAGCGUUGUCCGGAAUUAUUGGGCGUAAAGAGCUCGUAGGCGGUUAGUCGCGUCUGCUGUGAAAACCUAAGGCUCAACCUUGGGCUUGCAGUGGGUACGGGCAGACUAGAGUGCGGUAGGGGUGACUGGAAUUCCUGGUGUAGCGGUGGAAUGCGCAGAUAUCAGGAGGAACACCGAUGGCGAAGGCAGGUCACUGGGCCGCAACUGACGCUGAGGAGCGAAAGCAUGGGGAGCGAACAGG